CGGACGGGUGAGUAACGCGUGGGUAACCUGCCCUGUACAGGGGGAUAACAGUCAGAAAUGACUGCUAAUACCGCAUAAGACCACAGCACCGCAUGGUGCAGGGGUAAAAACUCCGGUGGUACAGGAUGGACCCGCGUCUGAUUAGCUGGUUGGUGAGGUAACGGCUCACCAAGGCGACGAUCAGUAGCCGGCUUGAGAGAGUGAACGGCCACAUUGGGACUGAGACACGGCCCAA
rnacentral:rRNA from 3 species